UACGUAGGGGGCAAGCGUUGUCCGGAAUCAUUGGGCGUAAAGAGCGUGUAGGCGGCCAGAAAAGUCCGCUGUGAAAACUCGAGGCUCAACUUCGAGCUGUCGGUGGAAACUUUCUGGCUAGAGUCCGGAAGAGGAGAAUGGAAUUCCUGGUGUAGCGGUGAAAUGCGUAGAUAUCUGGAGGAACACCGGUGGCGAAGGCGGCGUCCUGGACCAACAUUGACGCUGAGGAGCGAAAGCUAGGGGAGCAAACGGG
rnacentral:rRNA from 1 species